CUGAUAAAAGUUGCAAAUGGGUGGCUUCCCCUGUUUGCUCAUGCAGUUCCUCACCGUGGUGUAAGGCUUUCCGCAGAUGCAGGCAGGCUUUUCUUUCAUUUAUUUAAAAGCAAUCUUCUGAUUAGACAGAUAAGGCAGAUGACCAGAUAAGUUCCAUGAGCCAGUGGAGCAAAAGCUGUAAUUCUUUGCGGUGGGUUUUUUGGGUGUGUGUGUGUGUGUGGUUCUUUCUUAUCACCAUGUCAAAUGGAAUAUUGUUGCCAUUUUCCAGAUGGGCACACCACACACUCCCCCCCCCCAUCAUUUGUUCCUUGGUGGCUCCGGGGCCAGUGACUCCAUGCUGCCCUCUACUGCUGGACAUCAUAGUAGCUGCAGUAAAAGCCUGCAUUUCCUCCCCAGGGGUGCCAUGGCUGGAAGGUUCCUUGGUGUGUGGGGAUUAAUCUUCAGCUGUUUUUCCUGCAGGCCCAGAAGAGAGACCAUUCCCCACAACUUCUGUCGCUGAUUGCCAGCCACACUCUGAAUGAAAGGCAAGUUGGAGGGCUAGGAGUAGUCAUGUGGGAGGCGGCCGUUCUCCUUCAACGUGAUGAGUGAGCGAAGGGACCUGGGACUGCAAUAAGGGUGGGGUGGCCUAACCUUGAGCAGUCCUGUGCAGGGGGGCGGGGCAGUUCAAACACCCCCACGCCGCCUGGGCAUUAAGUAGGUGUGAGUGCCUAACUUGGGUGCCAACCCAUCAUACAACAUUGGUGGAGGAGGAAGAACAGGAAAUCCCCCUGUGAUUGGCUCAGAACUUUAGUGCUUUAUAAGGAGGUUUCUGUUUUCAGCAUAGCCAGUCGCUCUGCAAGACCCCUUCUGAAUAAUGUUUUCUCUUUCUCUGUGGUUAACUUCCUCUAACUAUACUGUUUUGGAGAGUUAGGGGGUAUAUCUCCUCCUUUUCCAUGCUAAGAAAAUUCCUUUUUAAUGGAGGGCAGGAAGAAAAUAAAAAAAAUUGCUCUUGUGCAAAUACUCUCCCUUGUUUGUGUUUUUUUUUCUGAAUCUGGUUCAGAAAACUGGAUAACCUCCCUCCCCGGCCAAAUUCUGCCCCAUGUAGCUUUCGUCAGGUCCCCCGUCCCCGCCAAGUUUCUAGCUGGAAAGUCUUUGCACAUUUGCAGCCCUUGGUUGGUGGACGCUCUCUCUCUUACAGUUAAUUUUUUUCUUCAUACCUGGGUAACUGUUAAAUCUUGAGAAACCCCAGUCUUGUCUACAGAAAGCCUUCUUUCAUUGUCCGACUGAUCAGCACAGGCCCACUGUUAAAAAUGUAAUCGGAUCAGGGAAGUAAUUGGGCUUUGCACAAGAGAAAACAUAAACAAACCACAGAUAGGGACUGUUGCAGGUGUGUAUGUGUGUGUUCUGUAAGUUGACUUUAUCCUACGAAGCAAACAUGACUUCUGGAGGAUAAAUCAGUGCCCAGUUGAUGGGAGAGAAAAGCAAACAGGUGGUCCACGUUACUGUAUGAACACUGACUGGCAAUAAUGCCCUGAAUCCUGAAACUACAGAGAAUAGGGCAGUGAGGAGUCUUGGGGAUGAAGGCACAUGGAGCAGGCUUCAACUGCACUUUCUCUCAUUAAGCCUAUUACUGCAGUCUGAUUAAAGACAUUGUAAUUGAGCUGUCACCUAAAUAUAAAGGUAAAGGGGACCCCUGACGAUUAGGUCCAGUCGUGAUCGACUCUGGGGUUGUGGCGCUCGUCUCACUUUACUGGCCAAGGGAGCCGGCGUACAGCUUCCGGGUCAUGUGGGCAGCAUGACUAAGCCGCUUCUGGUGAACCAGAGCAGCGCACGGAAACGCCGUUUACCUUCCCGCCGGAGCGGUACCUAUUUAUCUACUUGCACUUUGACGUGCUUUCAAACUGCUAGGGUGGCAGGAGCAGGGACCGAGCAACGGGAGCUCACCCCGUCACGGGGAUUCGAACUGCCAACCUUCUGAUCGACAAGUCCUAGGCUCUGUGGUUUAACCUACAGCGCCACCUGCGCCCCUUGUCACCUAACUAUACAUAUGGUCAAAACAAUUUUGAACCAAGAAGCAUGUUCUCUUUGUUUUUAGAUGAUGCCUGCAUGUGUCUUCUUAUGAGGCAUUCCUUCUGUGUGAGAGUAGAAUGAGAAUGCCUCUUUUGUGAUAGUAUAUGCCACCUGCAGUUUUUAUAUAUAUAGUUGUGUUGCAAAAUCUAUAUUUCCCUUAACAGGGACACUUUUUGAGUCAAUGAUUUUUUUAAAAAUGAUUACUCUAAAUCAUUAAUUAAUUAAAUGUUGCAGCCUUGAUUACCACCCCUUUUCUUUUUACUUACUUUGUUUUUUAUAGGGCUGAGCGCUGAUACUGAAAAUCCAUGCUGAGCCCUGACACAAAUUAAGCCCAAGCAACAAUGAGGAAAUGUAACAGGGGUAAGACAAGGAAUGGGCUCGCAACUAGAUGCAUUAUACCGUAAAAGGAAAUGUCGUCAUAGUAGUAGUAAUAUAUAUAUAUUUAUAUAUUUAUACCCCACCUUUUUCCCUGACAGGGACUCCAGGCAGCUGAUAGAUAAAAGAAGAGCUAAAAACAAAGAAAAAACAACAACAAUUAAAAAACAAUUAAACAUUGUCAGAAUUAAAAGUAUAUAUUAUGUAGAUAGAUCAAAAUACAUUAAAACCAUACAGAUAAUCACAGCAAAAACAGCACAGCACCAGCCCUUUCAUUAAAAGCCAUCAAUUCCCCAAAGCCUGUUGGAACAAGAAAGGGAGAAUCAUUCAAAUAAUUGCACUGCUAGCAAUAUUUUCACAUUUGAGAGUUAAAUCAGCUUUAAUAUUUUUGUUUCUGCUGUUUAUAGACCACCCAUUGACCAAGGUCUUGUGGGCGGUUGCAGAAAACCAACAAAGCACAGAUACACCUCAACAGAAAGAUAGAGUAGAGAAACAUAGGGUGGCCCUUGCAUCUUCACCAAAGCUGGUGUUGUCCUGGCCGUCCAGGAAUUGUGACUCUGCCAAAGGCAGAGGUAAGUUGUUACUGGACAAAUCCUCUAGGGCUUUCAGUUUUUCUCCUUCUACUGCAAAUGUAAAACAGCCCCUAAUGAAAAUAUAAAGCAAACUAGUUCACAGUCUAAAUUUAUUUUCCUGUCCAAACUCAAAUAUUCGAAGAUUUCAGACCUUUCUCUCUCUCUCUCUCUCUCUCUCUCUCUCUCUCUCUCUCACACACACACACACACACACACACACACGCAAAAUAUGAGAGGAGUUUCCUAAGCCGCAUGAAAACACACUCAGGCUUAAGAUGGUUAUGUUUUGAGCAUGAGUGAAGCUUUUAAUUAUAAAGCUCUCCUGCUGUUAAUACUUGAGCUGAGGUUACAGCAUACUGAUAUUUCUGUGAGAAAGUAGCUGAAGGUAAACUGGGUCACUUUGGUAACCUUAAGGUCAUAUUACUGCCAUGCAGUUUAUCUGAUCUCUGAAAAGUGUUCAGAAUUCAGCACUAAAGCUGUUGGUGGUUGCCAUCCAGAGACUAUGAUACAGAACUGCCUUGGUCACCAGUUUGUGGGCCCAGUUCAAAAUGCUGAUGGUCUUCUUUAAAGGCCUAAACUGUACUGGACACACACUGCCUCCCCCAAAAAGCCACAAUAGUCCAAGUAACAAAGAGCCAGACAUUGUAUUUCAGAAACGGGUCACCCCAUUCCUGAUCCCCACGAUUCUCCACAACUCUGUGAGACUCUGGGGGCUUCUUGUCAGCAGCCCGACUUAAAUUAGGUGAUUGUAUAUGUACUUGCCCAUAAUGUUUGACAGCAUUAAAACAUGUGAGGUGUCACCUUUGAUAGAGUCUUCUCUGUGACUUCUCCAGCUUCUUGUUCCAUAGUUUCAAACACAGUUCUGUGGGAAAUUGCUGUCUCAUGUAGCUAUAGCAUGUGUAAUGCUAGUUAAUGCAAAAAGCAAUUAAGACCACAGAGUUGUAUUGCUAGACACAGCUAGGUCAUGCCCCUCACCUAGAAGGAAGGGAGUUAAAUUUCCUGCUUUGGUCAUUCUCUUUCACCAUGUGAACUCUCAGAUAAAGUUUGUGCCUGAGCCUGAACUUGCCCGCUAUUAGUUCAGACCAUGUGCUUAGAGCUGUUUCACUAUAUUUUGUACCCCAAUAUUUUUGCCUGUGUUUAUAUGCUGCUGCAUGGAUAAAUGCAUGAACCUGACUUUUGGAACUUUGUAAGUAAAGCAUUUUAAAACUUCCCAAGGUGUGUGGUCUGUUCAGUGCUAAGAGGGGUAGAAAUGGGGAAGCUCUGGUAGCGACUCAGAACAAGAAGUUUAAAAGGUUUAACAGCCUAUAUUCCCACAAUAUGCUGCUGCUUGUGACUUUUAAAUCUCUGCUGGGGGCUGUCUGUUGCUGGAGAGCAUGUUUAGCCCCAUGCUUUAGAUCUAGGGAUCCAGACAAUUCUUUUAUUAAUUACCCCACAUGUAUGAUCUACAUCUAUGAAUCUAUUUUCCCCACCUGCUCAUCUGAUCCAGCAAUUCCCAAGCUCACCCAGAUAAUCCUGUUUGCUGUCACAAUCUUUUGAUUCUCUUUCAACCAUACUGUAUUCUAUAACUUUCAGAGACAAACCCCUGGGGUUUUGUGUGAUGUUCAUUAUCAGUUCUUCAAACAUGAUUAAAUGUCUGCUUUCUUGCUCGCAUUAUUAUAACUGGGUUCAGCAAGAAGCUGCUUAAAUCGGAACAGGUUACUGACAAACUGUACAUCUUGACAGACUAUAGUCUUCAUGAAUGACGCAGAUUAUGAAGCAAUAACUUUGUGUAGGGGUACCAGAUGAGGUUGCCCUCUCCCCUCGCCCCUCCCCUUAUUUCUUCUUUCCUUGAAACCCUGGCCCAAUGAUUAAGAGAUGGCUGGGGGACUCAGGAUCGCCUCUCCAGUCUGCCCUGGCGCCAGGUCCUUCAAAGUGGCCCCUCAGGAUUAUGCACACCUUAUAUCAGGUUGGAACACUGGGUGGUCAUAAUAACAAUUUCUCUAAAUCCGAAUCGUAAUCAAUAUAAUCCCCUAACAUCUGUAUCUAUCUGUUCUUUAAAUUUCUCAAUUACUGGGAUGUCAAUGUAGAAAAAUUAGGGUGGGUGUGUGGACCUUUAUCCUGAAUUGCCCUGCCCCCACCCAUUUUUAAAGGAAAAUUGAAAAAGACACUAAGUCAUGGUCCAAACUCAACCUCUUCCUCUUGGAUAUGUUUACUUCACUGAAGAUGGCAGUCCUGCCCAAGCUGUUGUCCUCGCUUGUUCCUGUGGCUUGAACAAUCAGGGUGGGGAACUCUGACAAAUUGAUUCUGAUGAAUGGGUGGGAUUUCCUGCACAUCCAAUGCUUAUGAUUCUUUUCAGAGUAAGCAUUUAUUAUCCUUCCUCUGGAAUGAUCUGCUUAAGCCUUGGGCUGACUUGGAGGCCUGUAAUUGGAAUAGCACCUUGACCCAGACAGUUUCCCUGUUCCCACAAGAAAUGAAAGGGGGUUGAGAACUCCUUUUUUUGGGUGGAAUUCGCAGAGGAAUCUUGCUCCUCCCAUCUCUCUUGUUCUUCCCUUCUUACAUUGUCAUCCUCCUUUCUGUUGUCAACGUAGAGGGCCACUUCGAAGAAUCUUAAAACACAGGGAAUUGUUCUUGUUUCUAUCAUGAUAAUACUCCUUUUUCAGAAGAGCAACUCAAAGGCAAGUUGGAGGCACCCUCUGUGAACUGGUUGUCUGUAUAUUGGAUUCAUUGCUUUUUCUCAGACGGGACAGUCAAGUAUCUGGGUCGCUGCCUGAUUCAGCGGACAACUGCUUAGAAGCCACUUUGGCAAGUAGGCAGCACGUAAAUAAAUAAAGUGUGAACAAUGGACUCAAAAAAUGCACAGGGGUGAAAGAGGGUGGUGGGAUCCUUGCAGGAAGAUGCUGGGACCACUUUUUAAAAUAUCCUGCCUCAGAAUUUUACAGAUGUCCCCAUUUGAGAUCCAAGAGAUUCAUGUUAGCACCAUCUGUGACGUUGCAAGAUAUCCUGGGGUCUUCUAGUCAUCAGAUGGUGCAGCGUAGCCGCUCAGGCAGCAAAAUGUCUUGGGGGGGGUGGCUCCAAUAAAUUAGGUUGCACCACUGUUGUGAAGUAAGAAUUAAAUAUAAAGGUCAGACAGAAACCAGAGCCCUUGUUUACAAAAUACACACUGCUGACAGGGGAAUUGUGUGUUCUGUCCCCACCGCCACCCCCAAGUCUGCACACUGCAUUUCCUCCGCAGAAAAGUGGUGCUGGAGUAGAUCCAGAUUAAGUGGUCCACACAAAGGUAUGACAUCUAAACUGCUGCUUCCAUCAGAGAAGCUAUUUUUCAGCACUAGCACAAUGAGGAAGAUUUGCCAAAAACACUCACUGCAGACAAAGCCCGAAGCAGUUCGUUUCACCCUUUCUUUGGUGCUUCUGUGAAUGAAUUGAGCACCCAUGCAUGUGCUCAGCAAAGCACUCAAGGCAGAGCCAAACAUACUUUAAGGAUAAAGCGAGUGAAGAACCCGAGUGCUGCUUUCUCAAAGGCAGUUGCUAGGGAAGAUUAAAGAUCUCUCCAGGGAACUGCAUGCUGUCAUCAGCUCAAAGCUCUCACAGAAGCUGAGCUUCUUAUGUUCACUGCAAUAAAAGCAACAGCACACAGGACAUCAUCUUACCAUGAGAGGUUUUGUCAAACAGCCCAAGGCCAGAGAAAGUCAGCAGCCUAAGCUGUUUCAGAAGAGCUUUUCUCCAGUCCCAACAGUUGUCUUUAUACCCAAUAGAAAACACUUAUUUGGUAACAGUAUAAAAUAUAACAUAUUAUAAAAUUAUAUUAAAUAAUAGGAAAUGUUUAUUUUAUGGUCCUAUUUAUUAUAGGGCCAUAGUCAUGGUUAAGUGAAGUCAACUGAAUUGCAUCCCACCAUUACAGUGAGAAAUCAGGAGGGGAGUCAGGUAGUUCGAAGAUGGUUCAACAGAUCAGCAGUGUGGAAGCAGUAAGUAUGAAGGUGGUUUCUGCCGAACUUGGGGUAGAAAAGAGAGGAAAUGGGUUAUUUUGAAUUAGUUAAAUGACAUGUAUUGUGCAUUUUUCUUCCAUAGACUUUGCUGGGGUGGAUUUUCCAGAAGGAUUUACCCAAUUAUUUUGGGGUGUAUCUAGCUAGGUUCUGCUCAAGAGUAGAUGUAUGGAAAUUAAAGGAACCUAAGUUAGUCAUGUCAUUAAUUUUGGUGGGUCUGCUUUGAGUAGGUUUAACAUUGGAUACAAUCCAAUGCAUUUUGGGGAAAUGGGUCAUUGUUUUAGGUCAGUUGGUUGUACUCGUGCCCAUGAGUUGUGUUUGUAAUUUUUAUUUAAAAGGCACUUUGUUGGCCAGUGUUAAUCAAUGGACUUGUUGGGGCUACUGUUGCUAGGCAGUACUUCUGGCCAGUCUGGGACAAUAGAAGCUUGCCGUUACUAGGCAGGAUUCUCACAUCCCAAACUUCAGCCUUCAGUUUGCAGUUCAGGUAGAAGUUAGGUAUGAAAGGAGGUGGGGAAAGCAAAUCACAGGAGAUAAAUGGAAAUAGUUUGAGAUGAAUGGGGAGAGGGAAAGGAAAAUGAUAUCACAGAUGCACAGCAACUGGAUUCCAUUUUUUAUUGGAAAAAAUAUUUUUAUUGCUUUUAUAUAUAGAUAAACUAUAGCAAAACAUAAGAAGCAUGAAGCAGGGACCAGGUGUACAAGCAAAAGAAAACACAGGAUGUAUACCAAAUUUUCACAUAUUAAUGUUCAAAAUGUUUUGUGUGCUAUAUAGGGAGUUAGUUACCAUCAACAACAAAGUAAGGAGACUUCCAGAUUUCUGUGUCUAGAAGCCCAUAUGUGGAGGCAAACUGGAGAAAGGUCCACCCCUCCUUGAUUUGUUUAAGGAACAAACCUUUGCCUUGUGGCAUAAAAUGCAUCAGGUGUCUUUAGUCCUUUUAGUGUUCUCACUUGGUGGGUUAUCUUGCCCAGAGUUGCUGUUUUCGACAUAUUUCUAUGUCAUAAUGUUAAUGUCCAAGUCUGUUGAGGUUUUCCAUAUUUGGGCAGUUGAUGGAUGGGCCGCAGCAUUGAGAAAGAUGUGCAAUUCAUUAAAUUUAAUGUCAGUCUUAGGACCCACAAUUAUAGGUAAUAGUAGCCAUUGAGGAGUACAUUCAUUGUACUCCUUUAGUAUAUUAGCAGUUUCCCAGAACAGAGCUACUAGGCAAUACCCCAUUCCUACAAUUUUGCCCACAAGCCAGUGAAAUCUCUGAUGUUACGUGAGGACGUGGCACAGGUGUCCUGCCCUACCUGUGCCAAAGCUUAAUCGUACUCUCUCGCUCUAAUGUAUGCUGGCAGAGGGUCAUAUCCAGCUCUGCUGUUCUGCUAUCUCAGGAGACUUCGGCUUGCAAAGUGAGACUUUCCCCAUCCCUUCUCUCCCUUGCAGCCUCAAAAUCAGCUCCAGAGGGCUGGAACAUCACCUGGGGAAGAUUUUGAGGGUGUAAAAGGAGAGAAGAGGAAACUUCAUUGUGUGAGUGGAAAUUAGUGCAUGCCGUGUUGGAUGCAACCCACAGGCUGGAAAGUUUUGAAUUCCCACAUCUUAACUCUGAUGACUACUAGCUGUUGUGAUUAAUAGGUAAAAGGUAAAGGACCUUUGGAUGGUUAAGUAAAGUCAAAGGUGACUGAGGUUGCGGUGCUCAUCUCGCUUUCAGGCCGAGGGAGACGGUGUUUAUCCACAGACAGCUUUCUGGGUCAUGUGGCCAGCAUGACUAAACCACUUCUGCCACAACGAAACACCGUGAUGGAAACCAGAGUGCACGGAAAUUCCGUUUACCUUCCCGCCACAGUGGUACCUGUUUAUCUACUUGCACUGGUGUGCUUUCAAACUCUUAGGUUGGCAGGAGCUGGGACAGAGCGACUGGAGCUCACCCAGUCGCAGGGAUUCGAACCGCCGGCCUUCUGAUCUGCAAGCUCAAGAGGCUCAGUGGUUUAGACUACAGCGCCACCCGCAUCCCUAUUAGUGAUUAAUAAAUUGAUCAUGAUAAUAGUGAUGGUAGGUCUCAAAUCUGCCUUUGAUUUGAUAACCCAAGGCAGAAGUUGUCAACCUUUUUGAGUCCACAGCUCCCCUGACCAACUGCGUUCUUUCUGCGGCUCCCCUGGAGGGAAACGUGCUCUGAGUCUCAGGAGCUCCCCUUGCCUGCCGAGCUGCCCACCCCUCACCUCUUUUGCAGAGACCCUUCCUUGUGGAGGGUUCCCUCAGCCUCCUCUCCCCUUUCCUCAAGAAUCUUUGCCCGCUUGUUUACUUACCCUGAGGCCACCUUGGCUCUCGGCAACCAGUUCUCAGCUCUCCUGGCCAGCCCCAGAGGCUGCUUUCACCUGGAGAACUUGUAGCCUGGGCCGCUACAAAAAAACAGCUGUGCAAGCCUUUGGGAGGCAGAGACACGAGAGGGCAUCAGAGGAGGGAAGGAAGGAAAGAGGGACAGAGGCCAGUGUUGCCCACGGCGUGCCUGACCACCAUUCAAGACGCCCCAGGGUGCCACGGCGCACUGGUUGAAAACCACUCACCUAGGGGAUGGUUGCAGAACAACCAAAAGAGUGCAUCAAUUGAUAAAAGUCUGUUUUAUCUCACGGAACAAUUACAGUUGGAAAGUAGAAUGGAAAUCAGAUGUUGUGUAGGAGGUCCUCUGUCAAAUUCUGUUGCAACUGCGAGAGGAAUUAGUGUUGUAGUCUAGCUCCCCUUGUUCCCUGAUUUAACUCUCCAGAACGUCAUAAACUGAAAAUUUGCAGAAGCCAGAAUGCCUCCAGACUUGUGUAUGUGGACGAUGCAGUCCUUCUCUCAAACACAGUUAGGCCUGAAACAUGUGUUAGAGGAAUGUUCUAACCUUUACGUAUAAGAAUGAAGCUCUUGCAAUUCGUUGUGGUAAGACUAAGGGAUUUUUUUUUGCUUAUUCUUAAAAAGUAAUGAAAGAUAAAUGGCUCUUUUGAUGGCUACCUACGUGUUUUUAACUUUUUAUGAUUUUAUCGCUUGGUUUCAUAUUUUUAUACUGUUGUAAACAGCUGUGGUAUAUCUUUAUGAUACAGCAGUAUAAUAAAUAUUUUAAAUAAAUAAAUAAAUAAAGCUAUUAUAUAGUUCUCUAUCUCCAAAUCCCUGAAGAGGAUGCAGAGGCAGAGGGAGUUUGGCCUACAUGCAGUAACACUGUCCUGGUGUGGAAGACUAUUGGUAGGGUUAUUUUUGACUACAGUGGAACCUCGGAUUACGUACCGUCCUCCUUACAAAUUCUUUGGGUAACAAGCUCCGCUAACCCGGAAGUAGAUGCCCCUUGUUGUGAACUUUGCCCUGGGGUGCGAGCGGAAGUUGUGCGCCGGCAGAGGCCCCAUUAGCGAAAGCGCACCUCAUGUUAAGAACGGUUUCAGCUUAAGAACGGACCUCUGGAAUGAAUUACGUUUGUAACCGGAGGUACCGCUGUAUUGCAGAAAGAACUGGACAAAUGAUAGGGCUCAAGUUGAGAGCCCAGCCUUGUUAUCACUAUUAAUAAGGAGCUACUUCACAAAGAACGUAUUAGGAUGGAGGUGAAUAAGCAUUGGAAAGAUGGGGAGGAACUUUCCACUAAACAGUAGAUAGAAUGAGCAAGGAACAUUAUUUUAGCUGAAGAACCUGCACAUCAAAUUAGGCAAGGGAUUGGGGGGGAAAUGAUUUAUUCAUGACAACAUGGUAUCCAUUUAUUGUUUAUGCUCCAUUUAUUGUUUAUGCCAUCAAAGAUUUAUCACUAUGUAGUCUGCCUAAUUCUUGGAGCAAGUUUUGGCAGUUUUUUUUUCUGAAUGAGGAAAACAAUUGUUAAGAUUUUUGUAGUGUAAGACGUGAAGAAAAUGUACCAGCAGUUCCAAGAAAAUUUGUAAAACAUUAUUGGAAUAAAGUGAUAGCUCUCAUCUUGGUUUAUUGCUGUUUACAGUUUGUUAAUACCACUGUUUUGUGGGAUAAAUCAGCCUCAUAUAACCAACAUGUAUAACUCUAAUGAAUGCACAAAGAGGUUAAGACCAUAGAGUAAGCUGUCCUGUCAGGCUUACCUAGGACACUGCCCCUCACCUUGGGAGGAAGGGCUCCCAAACUCUUUGUUCUCUCACUUGAACCCUACUAGUAAGGAGGUCUAAGCUGGAUGCGCGGCUUAAACAAGCUAUUUUUGUGAUUCUAUACAAAUAAUUUAGAAACUUGGCAUUUUUUAACCCAAGUUAAACUGCCUGUCUUUUUUUUGCUGCUGUAUGGAAAAGCACAUGAAUCUGACCUCUGAGGAGUUUGUAAGUAAACAGUUUUUAACUUCCCAAACGUGUGGUCUCUUUCUGUGCUAUGGAAAGUGGGGAAUUUUGGAAGCAACUUAGAAGGGGAUAUUUUAAAGUACUAACUGCCUAUAUUUCCACAAUUUACUAUGCUGCAUAUAUUGUGAUUUUAAAUCUCUGCUGGGGCUCUCACCUAAAAGUACUUGCCCCGAACCUGGAUCUUGGCGUCCAGGAAAUUCUCCUUCUCAUUAUACCUAAAAUAUUUCUCCUUUUAACCAAACAAAUGACGUUUUCUGGGGCAUUGUCUGCAUCCUGACAUCAGGAAGAUUGGAGCUGUCAUAAGAGCUGUUAGUUAAGCAACGAAGUUCUCAGGCCCUGAUCCACAAAAAGUGCUUGUGCAUGUCCUCUUCCCAGGCAGAUAGCCAGGUGCUUUGGCAGUGACUCUGAAGAUCCUCCCUGGCUUGCGCUCCUGUUCCGGUGGUCUUCUUGGGUGUUGGAGAACUGACUAGGAACCCAGGCAGCUGGGUAAGGACCUCCAGUCCUGGGGCAGGGGUAGCUCCUCAGGUUCAUUGGUAGUAUGGAGAUCUGCUGGAGGUUCCAGCUGCCCUUGCUCCUUAUUUGAGGAGACCUCAGGUUAUCAGUCUGAGCAAUGCUGAAUCCUAACAGUUAGCCUGAGAAAUAAAUAGCAAUAUAUCAAAUAGUAGAAAUCAUCACGACCACCUUGCAACCAUGAAAGAGGUGCAUGAGUUUGCUUGGUUUCCUCUUCCCUACCCAUCCCACUUUCCUUUUGUGUUUUGCCUUUUCAAUUGAAGGCUUGCAUUAUUUUUGUUGAUAGAAGCUGCUUUGGGAUCUUUUUCAGCUGAAGAGUGGAAGUAUAAAUGCAUUGAGUGAAUGGAUUGAUGAAUAAUAAUAAAUAUAACAAGCCUCUCUCCCACAGUAAAUGGAGCAGUGAUAGAAUUAGAAGAGGUAUGCCUUUGUACCCUUAUAGCUUGCUUGAAGAACAGGAAGCAGAGAGUAGGCAUAAAUGGACAGCUGUCACGAUGGAUGGAUGUAAGAAGUGGAGUCCCCUGUAACUUGUUCAUAAAUGAUCCGGAGCAGGUAGUGAACUGUGUGAUGAGACCAAAUCCUUCAGGCAGGUAAGAGCAAAAGGAAUCAAGGGUAGCUCCAAACCAGGCGAUUAGUCAUUAAAAUAGUAGAUACAGUCCACUCAGAGCUGGCACCAGGUUUGAGAGGGCCCCGGGGAACAUGGAUUCCACCCUCUAUCAGUGGGUCCUGGUGGACUUACUUAGCUGUGGUGACAGGGCUGCAAGGUGACAUGGUUCAGCCACCAUGUUUCAAUAUUAGGUUCACAGUAUAAAAAUACAAAAUAAAAACACAAAAUACAUAAUAAAAACAAGAAUACAACAAUACCCCCCCAUUUAAAAGGACAUAGACUGUUAAUCAGCUCAAGGCCUGGUUGAAUAAUUUUUGCCUGGUGUUUAAAGAUCAGGAAGGCUUCAGGCGAGUCUCUGGGGAGAACAUUUGACAAAUAGGGAACCACUGCAAAAAAAGGUUAAACAGGUACAGUGGACCCUCCGGAUACGAAUUAAAUUUGUUCCAAGGGUCCAUCCACAACCCAAAAAGUCUGUAGGCAGAGGCACCGCUUCUGCACAUACAUGUGGUGUGAUCGAGCGCUUCUGUGCAUGCGUGCGCGGCGAAACCUGUAAGUAUACACUUCCGGGUUUGCCACGUUCAUAACCUGAAAGUUACGUAUCCAGAGUGGUACGUAACUAGAGGGCCCACUGUACUGGCUGCAAAGACAUGUUUCCUGAGAUACAGAAGAAGAGAAAUGAGUUGAGUGUAAUUCCUAUAUGACCAACACAAUGAAUGUAAAGGACAAAGAGAGGAAAGAUAAUUCAGGGAUAACCUCUUCCAAAAUUAAUGACCAGGUGGAAUGGUCAAUGCAGACUGAGAGGGAAGACAGUUAUAGGGGGAUAGCAAGAUGAGUCUUUGCAAGAUGAAUAAUGCAUCUAAAGUUUAAUAUUGUUUGGGUGAAUUAACAAAAUUCUAACCCAUCGUGGCGUGACUGCACUGCACGUUUAUUGGAGACACUGCAGACUGACUGGAGUAUGUGCACAGAGUGUACAAAACAGGAUAUGCAUGUUCCCCAAGGCCUGUUGGGAAUUAUCUAUAAGGGCCAGAUAAUAUACAAAAUUCAGCUGAGAUGUGUACCGUAUUUUUCGCUCUAUAAGACGCACAAGACCAUAAGACGCACCUAGUUUUUGGAGGAGG